GGCAGAACGGUGAGGGCGGCGACCCUGAGCGCUCAGCAGGAUCCCAGCAAAAGGCCUUGCUAAGGUUGUGCACUGCCAGUAGCAUGGUAUGAUCUCCAAGAAUAGCAGCAUCAGUGAAGUGGAUCCACCUGAGCCUAGAGUGCUGCAGAGGGCAGAGCUGGAAACCUGAAACCAGCCCCUUGGAGGAGGCCAGAAGGCAAGACCCCGUCAGAAGAGUUAGGAAAGGACUCACAGAAAUGAAGGGGAUUGCAACCCCAUAGGAAGAACAAAUCAACCCACUGGACCACAAAGAGCAUCCAGGGACUAAACCACCUACCAAAGAGUAUGCAUGGAGAGAUGCAUGGCUCCAGCUCUAUAUGUAGCAGAGGAUGGCUUCAUCUGGCACCAGUGGGAGAGGAGGCCCUUGGUCCUGUGGAGGCUUGAUGCCCCAGUGUAGGGCGAUGCUAGAGCAGUGUGAAUCUGGAGUGGGUGGAGGCAAAGAGGAGAGGGGGAUGGGAUGGUG
rnacentral:lncRNA from 1 species